rnacentral:lncRNA from 1 species
GAAAGAUGUAGAGAGUGAGAGAUGUAGAGAGAGAGAGAUGUAGAGAGAGAGAUGUAGAGUGAGAGAUGUAGAGAGAGAGAGAUGUAGAGAGAUGAAGAGUGAGAGAUGUAGAGUGAGAGAUGUAGAGAGAGAGAGAGAUGUAGAGAGAGGUGUAGAGAGAGAGAGAUGUAGAGAGAGAGAUGUAGAGAGAGAGAUGUAGAGAGAGAGAUGUAGAGAGAGAGAUGUAGAGAGAUGUAGAGAGAUGUAGAUAGAGAGAGAUGUAGAGAGAGAUAUAGAGAGAUGUAGAGAGAGAUGUAGAUAGAGAGAUGAAGAGAGAUGUAGAGAGAUAUGUAGAGAGAUAUGUAGAGAGAGAGGUGUAGCGAGAGAGAUGUAGAUAGAGAGAUGAAGAGAUAUGUAGAGAGAGAUGUAGAGAGAUGUAGAGAGAGAGAUGUAGAGAGAGAUGUAGAUAGAUAGAUGAAGAGAGAUGUAGAGAGAGAGAUGUAGAGAGAUGUAGAGAGAUGAAGAGAGAUGUAGAGAGAGAGAUGUAGAGAGAUGUAGAGAGAGAGAGAUAUGUAGAGAGAUAUGUAGAGAUAUGUAGAGAGAGAGAGAGAUGUAGAGAGAGAGAUGUAGAGAGAGAUGUAGAGAGAGAGAGAUGUAGAGAGAGAGAUGUAGAGAGAGAGAUGUAGAGAGAGAGAGAUGUAGAGAGAUAUGUAGAGAGAUAUAGAGAGAGAGAGAGAUGUAGAGAGGGAGAUGGAGGGAGAGAGAGAGAUGUAGAGAGGGAGAUGUAGAGAGAGAGAUGUAAGAGAGAGAUGUAGAGAGGGAGAUGUAGAGAGAGAGGUGUAGAGAGAGAUGUAUAUGUAGAGAGGGAGAUGUAGAGAGGGAGAUGUAGAGAGAGAGAUGUAAGAGAGAUAUAUAUGUAGAGAGUGAGAGAUGUAGAGAGGGAGAUGUAGAGAGAGUCUACAAGUCUAAAGUAUGGAGGGAGGGAUAGAGGGAGA